rnacentral:rRNA from 1 species
UACGUAGGGUGCAAGCGUUGUCCGGAAUUAUUGGGCGUAAAGCGUGCGUAGGUGGUUGUUUAAGUCUGUUGUGAAAGCCCUGGGCUCAACCUGGGAACUGCAGUGGAAACUGGACGACUAGAGUGUGGUAGAGGGUAGCGGAAUUCCUGGUGUAGCAGUGAAAUGCGUAGAGAUCAGGAGGAACAUCCAUGGCGAAGGCAGCUACCUGGACCAACACUGACACUGAGGCACGAAAGCGUGGGGAGCAAACAGG